GACAGCGUGUCCGAGUGGUUAAGGAGGUGGACUUGAAAUCCACUAAGCUAUGCCUGCGCAGGUCCGAAUCUUGCCGCUGCCG
rfam:Perkinsus marinus ATCC 50983 gcontig_1104296310938, whole genome shotgun sequence.